GGUUAAGCGACUAAGCGUACACGGUGGAUGCCCUGGCAGUCAGAGGCGAUGAAGGGCGUGCUAAUCUGCGAUAAGCGCCGGUAAGGUGAUAUGAACCGUUAUAACCGGCGAUACCCGAAUGGGGAAACCCAGUGUGACUCGUCACACUAUCAUUAACUGAAUCCAUAGGUUAAUGAGGCGAACCGGGGGAACUGAAACAUCUAAGUACCCCGAGGAAAAGAAAUCAACCGAGAUUCCCCCAGUAGCGGCGAGCGAACGGGGAGGAGCCCAGAGCCUGAAUCAGCAUGUGUGUUAGUGGAAGCGUCUGGAAAGGCGCGCGAUACAGGGUGACAGCCCCGUACACAAAAGCGCAUGUGCUGUGAGCUCGAUGAGUAGGGCGGGACACGUGGUAUCCUGUCUGAAUAUGGGGGGACCAUCCUCCAAGGCUAAAUACUCCUGACUGACCGAUAGUGAACCAGUACCGUGAGGGAAAGGCGAAAAGAACCCCGGCGAGGGGAGUGAAAAAGAACCUGAAACCGUGUACGUACAAGCAGUGGGAGCACAGGUUUACCUGUGUGACUGCGUACCUUUUGUAUAAUGGGUCAGCGACUUAUAUUCUGUAGCAAGGUUAACCGCAUAGGGGAGCCGAAGGGAAACCGAGUCUUAACCGGGCGUUAAGUUGCAGGGUAUAGACCCGAAACCCGGUGAUCUAGCCAUGGGCAGGUUGAAGGUUGGGUAACACUAACUGGAGGACCGAACCGACUAAUGUUGAAAAAUUAGCGGAUGACCUGUGGCUGGGGGUGAAAGGCCAAUCAAACCGGGAGAUAGCUGGUUCUCCCCGAAAGCUAUUUAGGUAGCGCCUCGUGAAUUCAUCUCCGGGGGUAGAGCACUGUUUCGGCUAGGGGGCCAUCCCGGCUUACCAACCCGAUGCAAACUGCGAAUACCGGAGAAUGUUAUCACGGGAGACACACGGCGGGUGCUAACGUCCGUCGUGAAGAGGGAAACAACCCAGACCGCCAGCUAAGGUCCCAAAGUCAUGGUUAAGUGGGAAACGAUGUGGGAAGGCCCAGACAGCCAGGAUGUUGGCUUAGAAGCAGCCAUCAUUUAAAGAAAGCGUAAUAGCUCACUGGUCGAGUCGGCCUGCGCGGAAGAUGUAACGGGGCUAAACCAUGCACCGAAGCUGCGGCAGCGAACGUAUCACUUAAAGCGAUUCAGCGGGUUACGAUUGACGGAGCGAAGCGACGUCAAAGCGUAUACAAAGUCGAGUCGGUUUAAGGAUACGUUCGUUGGGUAGGGGAGCGUUCUGUAAGCCUGUGAAGGUGUGUCGUGAGGCAUGCUGGAGGUAUCAGAAGUGCGAAUGCUGACAUAAGUAACGAUAAAGCGGGUGAAAAGCCCGCUCGCCGGAAGACCAAGGGUUCCUGUCCAACGUUAAUCGGGGCAGGGUGAGUCGACCCCUAAGGCGAGGCCGAAAGGCGUAGUCGAUGGGAAACGGGUUAAUAUUCCCGUACUUGGUGUUACUGCGAAGGGGGGACGGAGAAGGCUAUGUUGGCCGGGCGACGGUUGUCCCGGUUUAAGCGUGUAGGUGUGUGUUCCAGGUAAAUCCGGUUCACUUUAACACUGAGGCGUGAUGACGAGGCACUACGGUGCUGAAGCAACAAAUGCCCUGCUUCCAGGAAAAGCCUCUAAGCAUCAGGUAACAUCAAAUCGUACCCCAAACCGACACAGGUGGUCAGGUAGAGAAUACCAAGGCGCUUGAGAGAACUCGGGUGAAGGAACUAGGCAAAAUGGUGCCGUAACUUCGGGAGAAGGCACGCUGACACGUAGGUGAAGUGAUUUACUCAUGGAGCUGAAGUCAGUCGAAGAUACCAGCUGGCUGCAACUGUUUAUUAAAAACACAGCACUGUGCAAACACGAAAGUGGACGUAUACGGUGUGACGCCUGCCCGGUGCCGGAAGGUUAAUUGAUGGGGUCAGCGCAAGCGAAGCUCCUGAUCGAAGCCCCGGUAAACGGCGGCCGUAACUAUAACGGUCCUAAGGUAGCGAAAUUCCUUGUCGGGUAAGUUCCGACCUGCACGAAUGGCGUAAUGAUGGCCAGGCUGUCUCCACCCGAGACUCAGUGAAAUUGAACUCGCUGUGAAGAUGCAGUGUACCCGCGGCAAGACGGAAAGACCCCGUGAACCUUUACUAUAGCUUGACACUGAACAUUGAGCCUUGAUGUGUAGGAUAGGUGGGAGGCUUUGAAGCGUGGACGCCAGUCUGCGUGGAGCCGACCUUGAAAUACCACCCUUUAAUGUUUGAUGUUCUAACGUGGACCCGUAAUCCGGGUUGCGGACAGUGUCUGGUGGGUAGUUUGACUGGGGCGGUCUCCUCCUAAAGAGUAACGGAGGAGCACGAAGGUUGGCUAAUCCUGGUCGGACAUCAGGAGGUUAGUGCAAUGGCAUAAGCCAGCUUGACUGCGAGCGUGACGGCGCGAGCAGGUGCGAAAGCAGGUCAUAGUGAUCCGGUGGUUCUGAAUGGAAGGGCCAUCGCUCAACGGAUAAAAGGUACUCCGGGGAUAACAGGCUGAUACCGCCCAAGAGUUCAUAUCGACGGCGGUGUUUGGCACCUCGAUGUCGGCUCAUCACAUCCUGGGGCUGAAGUAGGUCCCAAGGGUAUGGCUGUUCGCCAUUUAAAGUGGUACGCGAGCUGGGUUUAGAACGUCGUGAGACAGUUCGGUCCCUAUCUGCCGUGGGCGCUGGAGAACUGAGGGGGGCUGCUCCUAGUACGAGAGGACCGGAGUGGACGCAUCACUGGUGUUCGGGUUGUCAUGCCAAUGGCACUGCCCGGUAGCUAAAUGCGGAAGAGAUAAGUGCUGAAAGCAUCUAAGCACGAAACUUGCCCCGAGAUGAGUUCUCCCUGAGACUUUAGGUCUCCUGAAGGAACGUUGAAGACGACGACGUUGAUAGGCCGGGUGUGUAAGCGCAGCGAUGCGUUGAGCUAACCGGUACUAAUGAACCGUGAGGCUUAACCUU
rnacentral:rRNA from 1 species